rnacentral:rRNA from 1 species
UACGUAGGGGGCAAGCGUUAUCCGGAUUUAUUGGGUUUAAAGGGUGCGUAGGCGGGUUAUCAAGUCAGCGGUAAAAUCGUGGAGCUCAACUCCAUCCAGCCGUUGAAACUGAUGAUCUUGAGUGGGCGAGAAGUAUGCGGAAUGCGUGGUGUAGCGGUGAAAUGCAUAGAUAUCACGCAGAACUCCGAUUGCGAAGGCAGCUUACCAAGCUACUUCUGACGUUGAGGCACGAAAGCGUGGGGAGCAAACAGG